rnacentral:rRNA from 1 species
UACGGAGGAUGCGAGCGUUAUCCGGAAUCAUUGGGUUUAAAGGGUGCGUAGGCUGGUAUUUAAGUCAGUGGUGAAAUUUUCGUGCUUAACAUGAGAGCUGCCAUUGAUACUGGGUACCUAGAGUGUAUUUGAUGUGGGCGGAAUGUGUUGUGUAGCGGUGAAAUGCUUAGAUAUACCACAGAACACCGAUUGCGAAGGCAGCUUACUAGCUGAAACUGACGCUGAUGCACGAAGCGUGGGUAUCAAACAGG